rnacentral:rRNA from 1 species
UCCCGCGCCGCCUAAGUUGUACAUGAAUGACUCUAAUGCCCACGGAGGGUGUCAGGCCCGUGUGGCGGUAAAAGACCCCCGAAGGGGGGAAGGUACGGGACUGCGGAAAGGGCCUCUCCUUAGAGUCGGGUUGCCUGAAACCGCAACCUAAAGUAGGUGGUAAACUCCAUCUAAGGCUAAAUACGACCACGAGACCGAUAGCGAACAAGUACCGUGAGGGAAAGUUGAAACAGAACCCUGUAGAGAGAGUUCAAGAGAACGUGAAACCGUUAAGAGGCUAAACGGGUGGAGAUUCGAAGAUCGAACUGGGGGGAUUCAGUUCGUUCGGUAGUCGGGAGGGGGUUUCGGGAUCACAAGAGCGACCCCCGAGCGUGCGGCUCUAAUGUCGUAGUCCGCUCUAGGGGGCGCGGCCCGUCCCCUGCCCGGCGCCGGCGGGCGAUUUUCCCCCCGCAGUAGGUCGCCGCGAUCCGUUGGGAGGGCGUCUGAGGCCCGGGCUUUGGCAGGAACCGACGUCGUCGCUGUCGCUAAAGGCUGGUGCCCCCGUGGUUGUCAGUCUGGCAGAAGCGGCGUCUGGGGAUCCCCCGGUGUAAGUUACUGUUAUUAUUAUUAUGACAGUAAUCCUUGUCUUGCUCUCCCGACGGUCGCUCCUUGGGGCGGCGUCGCCGGCAACGGCGGCGCUCGCCUUCGCGGUGUGCAAAGAGUCGAGGCUCUACCCGACCCGUCUUGAAACACGGACCAAGGAGUCCAACAUGUAUGCGAGUCAUUGGGCUCACUAAACCCACAGGCGCAAUGAAAGUGAAAAGUGCUUUGCCUCGUGCAUAGCUACAGGGCCGAUCCCUCGGUCCGGACGACCUCUGCCUCUCCCUGGACGGAGUGACAAUGCCUUCCUCCCCGGGGAGCUACCGCUGGUAGUUGGGCUAAGGACCCGUCCGGUGCCGCAAGCCUCUCCUCCUGCAUUAUUAUUAUUAGUAGGAGGAAGGGGGGCGCAGGUCCGGGACUCGCCAUGACGAACAGCUGUCUCUCUGGCUGGCUUUACCGGCUAGCUUGCGGAGCUUCUGGAUGUGUCGGCGAGUACCUAGAGCAUAAAUGUUGGUACCCGAAAGAUAGUGAACUAUGCCUGGCCAGGAUGAAGCCAGGGGAAACCCUGGUGGAGGUCCGUAGCGAUUCUGACGUGCAAAUCGAUCGUCAGAGCUGGGUAUAGGGGCGAAAGACCAAUCGAACUAUCUAGUAGCUGGUUCCCUCCGAAGUUUCCCUCAGGAUAGCUGGCACUCGUCAAUAACGAGUUUCAUCCGGUAAAGCGAAUGAUUAGGGGUGUUGGGGACGAAAUGUCCUCAGCCUAUUCUCAAACUUUAAAUGGGUGAGGUGCCGGGCUUGCUUUAUGUGCCCUCACGGGCCUUGAAGCCCCGGACACGAAUCGGAGUGCUUAGUGGGCCAAUUUUGGUAAGCAGAACUGGCGCUGUGGGAUGAACCUAACGUCGAGUUAAGGGGCCUAAAUGGAUGCUAAUUCCGAUACCAUGGAAGGGAGUUGCUUGCUAUAGACAGCAGGACGGUGGCCAUGGAAGUUGGAAUCCGCUAAGGAGUGUGUAACAACUCACCUGCCGAAGCAAGUAACCCUGAAAAUGGCAUGGCGCUCAAGCAUCCUCCCGAUACUCGACCGCCGGGCGCACUAUUGGCUGCAACAAGGAGGUCUCGAGGCCCCGGUGAGUAGGAGGAGCGCGGUGGUGAGCGUUGAAGGAUUCGGCGUGAGCCGGUCUGGAGCCGCCACUGGUGCGGAUCUUGGUGGUAGUAGCAAAUAUUCGAGCGAGACCACCCUCGUUGACCGACGCGGAGAAGGGUUCCACGCCAACAUCGCUUGGUCGUGGGUUAGUCGUACCUAAGCCCGGGGAUAGCAUCCCGAUUUACUAGGUGUGCUGGCUUUCCUGUCCCAAGUCAUAAUUAUGCACCACCCUGGUAAUCGUAAUUACUGUCCACGCUCGCGCCUCGCAUGCGUAUUCCCCACUGAUUGACUGCUGACGACAGGCAGACUUACUGUACUGACUACUACUGC